AUUGAACGCUAGCGGGAUGCUUUACACAUGCAAGUCGAACGGAGUGGCGGACGGGUGAGUAAUAUAUCGGAAAGUGCCCAGUAGCGGGGGAUAACUACUCGAAAGAGUGGCUAAUACCGCACACUAUUGGAGCGGCCGAUAUCGGAUUAGCUAGUUGGUGGGGUAAAGGCUCACCAAGGCAACGAUCCGUAGCUGGUUUGAGAGGACGACCAGCCACACUGGGACUGAGACACGGCCCAGACUCCUACGGGAGGAAGCAGGGGGGAAUUUUGGACAAUGGGGGAAACCCUGAUCCAGCCAUCCCGCGUGUAUGAUGAAGGCCUUCGGGUUGUAAAGUACUUUCAGCGAGGAGGCGUUACUCGCAGAAGAAGCACCGGCUAACUCCGUGCCAGCAGCCGCGGUAAUAC
rnacentral:rRNA from 1 species